AUUUAUCCUUCUCCCUCUCACCUCUUCUCUUUCCUUUUUGUUAUACAGAAGCUAAAAAGCCCAAGUCGUUUCUCCUCAAAAACAAAGGGAUUAAGUUAUUAAUCGAAGAAGAAAUCUCCGACCAUGACAAAACAAUAUCUUUAUGUAAAAGAAUUUUUCACGCAGUGCGAUCCUGGAUAGAUAUAGUUCAAAUUGUAACAAUCCCACUUGAUGCAAAGAUGUAGCACUUGGCGCUGAUUGAGCGUUAUCCCAACUUGGCUUUUGACGCUGAUGCAAGUGGUGAUUCUGCAUUACUACCAAGUGUGGAAAAGCUAAGCUCAUCUUUCAGUUGUCAUUUUUCCAGCUGUAUAUUUACUCACGUUAGUGACCUAAGGUUAUGUUCAUUCAUCUCAUUUCUGUGAAAUAAUAUUUUGUGAACCACUUCUUAAUUUAUUUAUUUUGGAUACACACUUCUUAAUUUCUUAUAUAACUACAUCAUGUGUUCCUAAUAACGAAUAAAACUUGGAACCUUCUUGAUUAACUGACUAAUUUAUCUAUGGUUUGGUAUAGUUAUUUUUGUGGACCUGGAUGCCUCACGUGAUCAUGCCUGGAUUAGUGACAUGGAAAGUCCUCCAUAAAGCUUAAGAUAGUGGUCUUUCAGUCCCAAAAAUAUGUAUCUCUACUUGAUCCUUCGUUCAAGUUUUCAGUGAAAUUUUCUGAGUUACGGUUUAACUUUACUUGUUUACUCCUUCAGAAGAUAACUACCAAUCUUGGAUUAGCUAAAUUUUUUAAUUCUAAGUUUGUGCGUUUGUUAUGCAACAACCUCUUAAUGAAUGAAGAACAACCUACUAUACACUGAUGCACCAACAAUUCCUCAUUUGGGUAUUAUUUUUACCAUAUGCUAUCUUUGACUACACGAUCAGUAAUUUCUUAAGAUGAAUAUUUUCCACUACAUAGUUCUUCUAUUUCUGAAUAUAUAUUUCCUUUUUUGUAUGUCAUUGAUGAGUUGGAGCUCGAAAAACAUAAAAGAUGGACCAACGCCGCUCGAACACAGGUGGUGUCGAGUAACGAACCUAUAUGUUUGGAAUUACAGUUUCUGAAUGUUCUGUAAUAAAGAUGUUACCAUUGGCGCAUCGAUGGUAACAAUGAAUGUUAACCAUGCAAAUAAUCAUUCGUUGGGCGAACCUUACUGGACUUAUCAUCCAUUGCCGUGUGGUGUGGGAUAUUCCCAAAUGUUCAGAUUCAGUCAGAUUCAGUCAGGCCAGAUAGCCAAUCUAAAUUAAUUUUUUUUAUUAAGAUUUAUAUCUAUGACUGAUUGAAGUCAGUCAGAAAGUAUUGACCGUUAAAAUUGGUCGUUAAUAUAAGAUUUUCAACGACCCCCGGAGACACGUCAUAGUUGAAAAAGACGCUCAAACAGCGACCCUUUCUUCGACCGACAAAGCAAUUCAUAGAUAUGAGUUAAAUGACUUGCUUUGUCAGUCGCGAAACUGCUGAUUUCCACUAGUGUUGAGUGUAGUUUGCUUAAGUCCGAGGAAACCGUUAAAGUAGUUUUUCCCUUGCUUGAAGGUGUUGAUGCCUGCGUUGUGUUAUGUUUGUAUUUUGAUGUUAUGAUGUUGUUUCCCCUAUCACUAAUUGUCUCUUCUCAACUGUAAUUGAACAAGGAAAGUUGAAGUCUUUGGAGGAAGAGACUGUUCGGAUAAGGGCGAGGGAGACCCAACUACUCGGGCAGGUGGCUACUGUUGAGGCGGCAUCGAAUCAACUGACUCGAGAUCGUGCUGCCGAGAAGGAGAAGUUCAACACCGAACUUGUCGCCAAAGUAAAAUAAGGUGUGAAGGCGGUUAUGGAGAAGAAGCGAGCCGAUGCCGCUGCUAAGAAGGCAGGAUCAGGAUCAGUUCCUCCAAAGGCAUAAGUUGAUCUUUUGUAGUUCUGCGUCACUAUUGUGCCCUUUGCAUUGGGCUGUAAUUCGCUUAAACACCAUUAUCUUUUCUGAAAAUUUUCUUUUAAGGGGUGAUGCGUCGCCAAUCGAUUGUAUUAGUUGUUUUCAGAUAUUUUCAUUUGUGCUUCGUCGACCGUACUUUGUUGUUUCUAUAUGACAUGUUAAUGUUUCUCUGAACAAAAAAUGGUUUACUUAGUUAG